UGACAUUGAGUUCAACCCACUUCCAGGUACUUCACUACCAGCAGUUCGUUUCUUCUCAGCUACACCAAACUGUUCAAAAGGUUGUCGAGACCAAAGGGAUCCACUGCCUGGACUUGAACUCAACUGUACUGGAAAAGCAUCUUGAUAGCCCUUUGGUUGAGAAAGCUCAUCAAAGACCAAUGGAACUCUGGUCCUUGACCCGGCAUUUGAAAACAUAGGCUGACCAGCAGCCGGCCCAUAUCCAUUGGAACUGUCCCAUGGAGCAUUCUUCUCGGACAUGUAU
rnacentral:lncRNA from 1 species